rnacentral:tRNA from 1 species
GGGGCUAGAGCUCAGUGGUAGAGCACUUGCCUCUCAUGCAUGCAGUCCUUGGUUCAAUCCCUAGUACUGCUA